GAUGAACGCUGGCGGCGUGCUUAACACAUGCAAGUCGAACGGAAAGGCCGAAGCUUGCUUCGUUUCUCGAGUGGCGAACGGGUGAGUAACACGUGUGUGAUCUGCCCUGUACUUCGGGAUAGGCUUGGGAAACUGGGUCUAAUACCGGAUAUGACGAUCUCUUGGAUGGGGUUGUGGAAAGCUUUUGCGGUAUGGGAUGAGGUCGCGGACUAUCCGCUUGUUGGUGGGGUAAUGGCCUACCAAGGCGUUGACGGGUAGCCGGCCUGAGAGGGUGUACGGCCACAUUGGGAUGGAGAGACGGCCCAGACUACUACGGGAGGCAGCAGUGGGGAAUAUUGCACAAUGGGAGCAAGCCUGAUGCAGCGACGCCGCGGGGGGGAUGACGGCCUUCGGGUGGGAAACUCCUUUCGCAAUGGACGAAGGCUUUUGGUGACGGUAGGUUGAGAAGAAGCACCGGCUAACUACGUG
rnacentral:rRNA from 1 species